UCUCUUAUUCUCUCUCAUUCUCUCUCUCUCUCUCUCUCUCUCUAAGAUCCUUCGCCAUUCGUCGUCCGUUUCCAAAAACGGAGGGUAGUGCGUGAAUCAGAAGAGGAAACUCUACACUUUUAGUGGAUCGGAUCGUCGUUUCGGAGAGUUUCGGGUUUUUCCAAGAAUCGAGGUUUUUGGGAUCUCAGGUUGUCGAUUUGGACCGUUUUCAUACGAACUUUCAUUUCGAGUAUAAGGGUGAAAUGAAACCACUGUUAUAUGAUACGGCACGAUAUCGUAGUUAGAUGUACACGUUCAACCACACGUAUUAAACGAUGUGGGUACCAAGAUGGUCGGCUAGCAGGAUGAAACCAUUGGCUGAUAUUGGGCCAAUGGGAGCAGUCGGAUCGUAUGUAGGUACUUGACAGUGUCUGCACGAACAAGGCAUUGGACGAGUACUAGUGCACAACCCGAGCCACGGGGUAAAACUGGUUAUAGGGAUAUUUUGUUGUUGGUCAUCUGAUAAAUCAUUAAAUGGUCGAAAGACAGAUGUGAGAAUUUUGUAAUAUGAAUAAUGAUAUACCUGAUGCAUUACUAUAUUGAAAAUAUGUGAUUUAUAU